CAGUAGCCGCGGUAAUACGUAGGGUGCAAGCGUUGUCCGGAAUUAUUGGGCGUAAAGAGCUCGUAGGCGGUUUGUCGCGUCUGCUGUGAAAUCCCGAGGCUCAACCUCGGGCUUGCAGUGGGUACGGGCAGACUAGAGUGCGGUAGGGGAGAUUGGAAUUCCUGGUGUAGCGGUGGAAUGCGCAGAUAUCAGGAGGAACACCGAUGGCGAAGGCAGAUCUCUGGGCCGUAACUGACGCUGAGGAGCGAAAGCGUGGGGAGCGAACAGGAUUAGAUACCCCUGUAGUCCCUGUCUCUUAUAC
rnacentral:rRNA from 1 species